rnacentral:rRNA from 1 species
GGGGAAUAUUGCACAAUGGGCGAAAGCCUGAUGCAGGGACGCCGCGUGAGGGAUGACGGCCUUCGGGUUGUAAACCUCUUUCAGCAGGGAGGAAGGUGCUGUGGUUAAUAACCGCAGCCAUUGACGUUACCCGCAGAAGAAGCACCGGCUAACUCCGUGCCAGCAGCCGCGGUAAUACGGAGGGUGCAAGCGUUAAUCGGAAUUACUGGGCGUAAAGCGCACGCAGGCGGUCUGUCAAGUCGGAUGUGAAAUCCCCGGGCUCAACCUGGGAACUGCAUUCGAAACUGGCAGGCUAGAGUCUUGUAGAGGGGGGUAGAAUUCCAGGUGUAGCGGUGAAAUGCGUAGAGAUCUGGAGGAAUACCGGUGGCGAAGGCGGCCCCCUGGACAAAGACUGACGCUCAGGUGCGAAAGCGUGGGGAGCAAACA